UACGAAGGGGGCUAGCGUUGUUCGGAAUUACUGGGCGUAAAGCGCGCGCAGGCGGUCUUCCAAGUCAGUGGUGAAAGCCCGGAGCUCAACUCCGGAAAUGCCAUUGAAACUGUGAGACUUGAGGAUGAGAGAGGUGAGUGGAAUUCCCAGUGUAGAGGUGAAAUUCGUAGAUAUUCGCAAGAACACCAGUGGCGAAGGCGGCUCACUGGCCCGUUACUGACGCUGAGGCACGAAAGCGUGGGGAGCAAACAGG
rnacentral:rRNA from 1 species